rnacentral:rRNA from 1 species
AUGGAUAGCUCCAUAGAAUUCGUCGGCGACGGCGACGACGUCGGGGCCGUCCUGGCGCGGUACAGCCUGGACGUGAGCGCCGGCUGCGGCGGCCGGCGCAGCACGCUGCUGGACGAGUACGAGCGGCUCGCGUUCGAGGCGCAGCUCAAGAGCGCCAUCCUGCGACGGUGCUACUCCGAGCCGAGCCCGGCCAGGUUCGUACACCCGGCCGACGGCGACACGCCGGCGCCGGCACUGCCCGGGACAGAGGGAAACGGCCGGCGGGAGGACCCGGCGGCAGAAAGAAGGUCGUGGCGACUCCACGAGGCGGUGGCCCGGUGGCUCGGGUCGUUGAAGCCGGUGUUCUGCUGGCUCUGGAGCGUGCUGGAGCGGCGCCGGUGGAAGGAGCGGGACGCGCCACGAGGCCCGCCCGCCACGCUGCCACGGGUGCAAUUGCUUGACUACCUAUGUUAA